rnacentral:rRNA from 1 species
GCUUACGGCCAUACCAGCCUGGGUACGCCCGAUCUCGUCUGAUCUCGGAAGCUAAGCCGGGUCGGGCCUGGUUAGUACUUGGAUGGGAGACCGCCUGGGAAUACCAGGUGCUGUAAGCA